rnacentral:rRNA from 1 species
GAUUGAACGCUGGCGGCAGGCCUAACACAUGCAAGUCGAGCGGUAGCACAGAGAGCUUGCUCUCGGGUGACGAGCGGCGGACGGGUGAGUAAUGUCUGGGAAACUGCCUGAUGGAGGGGGAUAACUACUGGAAACGGUAGCUAAUACCGCAUAACGUCGCAAGACCAAAGUGGGGGACCUUCGGGCCUCAUGCCAUCAGAUGUGCCCAGAUGGGAUUAGCUAGUAGGUGGGGUAACGGCUCACCUAGGCGACGAUCCCUAGCUGGUCUGAGAGGAUGACCAGCCACACUGGAACUGAGACACGGUCCAGACUCCUACGGGAGGCAGCAGUGGGGAAUAUUGCACAAUGGGCGCAAGCCUGAUGCAGCCAUGCCGCGUGUGUGAAGAAGGCCUUCGGGUUGUAAAGCACUUUCAGCGGGGAGGAAGGCGGUGAGGUUAAUAACCUCACCGAUUGACGUUACCCGCAGAAGAAGCACCGGCUAACUCCGUGCCAGCAGCCGCGGUAAUACGGAGGGUGCAAGCGUUAAUCGGAAUUACUGGGCGUAAAGCGCACGCAGGCGGUCUGUCAAGUCGGAUGUGAAAUCCCCGGGCUCAACCUGGGAACUGCAUUCGAAACUGGCAGGCUAGAGUCUUGUAGAGGGGGGUAGAAUUCCAGGUGUAGCGGUGAAAUGCGUAGAGAUCUGGAGGAAUACCGGUGGCGAAGGCGGCCCCCUGGACAAAGACUGACGCUCAGGUGCGAAAGCGUGGGGAGCAAACAGGAUUAGAUACCCUGGUAGUCCACGCUGUAAACGAUGUCGAUUUGGAGGUUGUGCCCUUGAGGCGUGGCUUCCGGAGCUAACGCGUUAAAUCGACCGCCUGGGGAGUACGGCCGCAAGGUUAAAACUCAAAUGAAUUGACGGGGGCCCGCACAAGCGGUGGAGCAUGUGGUUUAAUUCGAUGCAACGCGAAGAACCUUACCUGGUCUUGACAUCCACAGAACUUAGCAGAGAUGCUUUGGUGCCUUCGGGAACUGUGAGACAGGUGCUGCAUGGCUGUCGUCAGCUCGUGCUGUGAAAUGUUGGGUUAAGUCCCGCAACGAGCGCAACCCUUAUCCUUUGUUGCCAGCGGUUAGGCCGGGAACUCAAAGGAGACUGCCAGUGAUAAACUGGAGGAAGGUGGGGAUGACGUCAAGUCAUCAUGGCCCUUACGACCAGGGCUACACACGUGCUACAAUGGCAUAUACAAAGAGAAGCGACCUCGCGAGAGCAAGCGGACCUCAUAAAGUAUGUCGUAGUCCGGAUUGGAGUCUGCAACUCGACUCCAUGAAGUCGGAAUCGCUAGUAAUCGUAGAUCAGAAUGCUACGGUGAAUACGUUCCCGGGCCUUGUACACACCGCCCGUCACACCAUGGGAGUGGGUUGCAAAAGAAGUAGGUAGCUUAACCUUCNGGGAGGGCGCUUACCACUUUGUGAUUCAUGACUGGGGUGAAGUCGUAACAAGG